rnacentral:rRNA from 1 species
UAAACUAGGAUUAGAUACCCUAUUAUUUUUAAUGUAAAUUUAAAUACUAAAUUAGUAGUAGUUAUGUUCUUUAAAAUUAAAAAAUUUGGCGGUAUUUUAGUCUUUUCAGAGGAACUUGCCCUGUAAUUGAUAGUCCACGAUUAGACGUACUUUAAUUAUUAAUUUACAUAUCAUUGUAGUUUGAAUAUUUUAAUAGAAAUUUAAUAUUCAAGAUUUUACAUUAAAAAAUAAAUCAGAUCAAGGUGUAGUAUAUAUUAAAGUAGAGGUGAGUUACAAUAAAAUUAUUUUAGGAUAAUUUUUAUUACAAAAAUUUGAAUUUGGAUUUGAGAGUAAUUUUAUAUAUUUAUUUAAAAUGAUUAUAGCUCUAAAAUAUGCACACAUCGCCCGUCGCUCUUAA